AUUGAACGCUGGCGGCAGGCCUAACACAUGCAAGUCGAACGGUAACAGGAAGAAGCUUGCUUCUUUGCUGACGAGUGGCGGACGGGUGAGUAAUGUCUGGGAAACUGCCUGAUGGAGGGGGAUAACUACUGGAAACGGUAGCUAAUACCGCAUAACGUCGCAAGACCAAAGAGGGGGACCUUCGGGCCUCUUGCCAUCGGAUGUGCCCAGAUGGGAUUAGCUAGUAGGUGGGGUAACGGCUCACCUAGGCGACGAUCCCUAGCUGGUCUGAGAGGAUGACCAGCCACACUGGAACUCAGACACGGUCCAGACUCCUACGGGAGGCAGCAGUGGGGAAUAUUGCACAAUGGGCGCAAGCCUGCUGCAGCCAUGCCGCGUGUAUGAAGAAGGCCUUCGGGUUGUAAAGUACUUUCAGCGGGGAGGAAGGGAGUAAAGUUAAUACCUUUGCUCAUUGACGUUACCCGCAGAAGAAGCACCGGCUAACUCCGUG
rnacentral:rRNA from 1 species